AUUGAACGCUGGCGGCACGCCUAACACAUGCAAGUCGAGCGGCAGCAUGCUUAGUAGCAAUACUAAGUGAUGGCGAGCGGCGGACGGGUGAGGAACACGUAGGAACCUGCCCAAGAGAGGGGGACAACCAAUGGAAACGUUGGCUAAUACCGCAUAAUCUCUUAGGAGAAAAGUUGCCCGUAAGGGUAGCGCUUUUGGAGGGGCCUGCGUCCGAUUAGCUAGUUGGUGAGGUAAUGGCUCACCAAGGCUGUGAUCGGUAACUGGUCUGAGAGGACGACCAGUCACACUGGGACUGAGACACGGCCCAGACUCCUACGGGAGGCAGCAGUGGGGAAUCUUGGACAAUGGGGGCAACCCUGAUCCAGCGAUGCCGCGUGGGUGAAGAAGGCCUUCGGGUUGUAAAGCCCUUUAGGCUGGGACGAAGGGUAUGGGACGAAUAAUCCUGUACUUUGACGGUACCAGCAGAAUAAGCACCGGCAAACUCUGUGCCAGCAGCCGCAGUAA
rnacentral:rRNA from 1 species